GACGAACGCUGGCGGUGUGCUUAACACAUGCAAGUCGAACGGUAAGGCCCUUUCGGGGGUACACGAGUGGCGAACGGGUGCGUAACACGUGAGUAACCUGCCCUCAUCUCUGGGAUAACAGUCGGAAACGGUUGCUAAUACUGGAUAUGAGCUUGCAAGGCAUCUUGUGGGUUGGAAAGAUUUUUUUUGGUUGGGGAUGGACUCGCGGCCUAUCAGCUUGUUGGUGAGGUAGUGGCUCACCAAGGCUUCGACGGGUAGCCGGCCUGAGAGGGCGACCGGCCACAUUGGGACUGAGAUACGGCCCAAACUCCGACGGGAGGCAGCAGUGGGGAAUAUUGCACAAUGGACGGAAGUCUGAUGCAGCAACGCCGCGUGCGGGAUGACGGCCUUCGGGUUGUAAACCGCUGUCAAUUGUGACGAAGCUUUUUUGUGACGGUAGCAGUAGAAGAAGCACCGGCUAACUACGUG
rnacentral:rRNA from 1 species